rnacentral:rRNA from 1 species
AGCAGCAGCCGCGGUAAUACGUAGGUCCCGAGCGUUGUCCGGAUUCAUUGGGCGUAAAGCGAGCGCAGGCGGUUAGAUAAGUCUGAAGUUAAAGGCUGUGGCUUAACCAUAGUACGCUUUGGAAACUGUUUAACUUGAGUGCAAGAGGGGAGAGUGGAAUUCCAUGUGUAGCGGUGAAAUGCGUAGAUAUAUGGAGGAACACCGGUGGCGAAAGCGGCUCUCUGGCUUGUAACUGACGCUGAGGCUCGAAAGCGUGGGGAGCAAACAGGAUUAGAUACCCCCGUAGUCCCUGUCUCUUAUACA